rnacentral:rRNA from 1 species
ACUGAACGCUGGCGGCAGGCUUAACACAUGCAAGUCGAGCGGUAACAGAGAGAAGCUUGCUUCUCUGCUGACGAGCGGCGGACGGGUGAGUAAUGCCUAGGAAUCUGCCUGGUAGUGGGGGAUAACUUGCCGAAAGGUAAGCUAAUACCGCAUACGUCCUACGGGAGAAAGGAGGGGACCGUCGGGCCUUUCGCUAUUAGAUGAGCCUAGGUCGGAUUAGUUAGUUGGUGAGGUAAUGGCUCACCAAGACCGCGAUCCGUAACUGGUCUGAGAGGAUGAUCAGUCACACUGGAACUGAGACACGGUCCAGACUCCUACGGGAGGCAGCAGUGGGGAAUAUUGGACAAUGGGGGGAACCCUGAUCCAGCCAUGCCGCGUGUGUGAAGAAGGUCUUAGGAUUGUAAAGCACUUUAAGUUGGGAGGAAGAGCAGUUAACUAAUAUUUGACUGUUUUGACGUUACCGACAGAAUAAGCACCGGCUAACUUCGUGCCAGCCGCCGCGGUAA